GUUCAGCCUCUGGAGGAGCUGGUUGGAUUUCUUACGUAUGGAAGUGGCGAGAAGGCAGUUUUGUCUUUUCAGGACGAAGGUUUGACCUAGAGGAAGUCAGCCCUGUGUCAACAAGGAGACACAUCCCCUGGCGGGAGCCACCAGGACAAUAGAGACUGAUCCACAGUUUAUGCAGGAGUGACGAAUCCCCUUGCAAGCAUCUGUAGCUUGCUUCUAGUUCAUGGGCUUUGUCACAAUUCUUUACAUGCUCCCCAAACCUAUGUAUCUGGAACAGUGUGGAGAUGGCCUUUCAUUUUUCUUCAUCUGGAUUCUUCAGCCCAAGCAUGAAGCUUAGCUUAGAAGGAAGAAAACCUGGGGAGGGGAAGGUUUUUUUUCUUUUUCUUUUUAUACAUUUCCUGUGUUGAUUCCAAACUCAGGGAACACCCACCCUAAAAUCCUUUAGGUCAUGGUGGGGUCAGGGCGAGGUACUUACAUAACUGGUGCUCACACACUGGAAGGCCUUUUCUGGAAAGCAUGUAGUGCCUUUCACAUGGACAUAAGGAAAGGUUGGGCAGGAGAUUUCUUGAUGAAGUCAAAGGAUUUAAAUUAAAAUUUGUGAAACAAAAAAAAAUAUACCCAGGAGAGCAAUGCUAAACUAUUGCCAUGGAGACCAACAGGACUUUGUUGACUUUCAAGCUAUUCGUGGAACUCCUGGGUCUGGCAACUAGGACUGGAGGCGAGGAAGAGAAAGAAGAAUCCAAUACCUGCACGGACACCUACAGGAGUCACAACCAACAUCUCCUAAGAGGUGACAGAUGUGGCUGGCUCCUACCAGCCUCCAUCUUCCACAC